GACGAACGCUGGCGGCGUGCCUAAUACAUGCAAGUCGAGCGGAUUUAAUUGAAGAGCUUGCUCUUCAAUUAGGUUAGCGGCGGACGGGUGAGUAACACGUAGGCAACCUGCCCUUAAGAUCGGGAUAACAUUCGGAAACGAAUGCUAAGACCGGAUACGCAGUUUGGUGGCAUCACUGAACUGGGAAACACGGAGCAAUCUGUGGCUUAGGGAUGGGCCUGCGGCGCAUUAGCUAGUUGGUGGGGUAACGGCUCACCAAGGCGACGAUGCGUAGCCGACCUGAGAGGGUGAACGGCCACACUGGGACUGAGACACGGCCCAGACGCCUACGGGAGGCAGCAGUAGGGAAUCUUCCACAAUGGGCGCAAGCCUGAUGGAGCAACGCCGCGUGAGUGAGGAAGGCUUUCGGGUCGUAAAGCUCUGUUGCCAGGGAAGAAUAAGAGUGAGAGUAACUGCUCACUUGAUGACGGUACCUGAGAAGAAAGCCCCGGCUAACUACGUGCCAGCCGCCGCGGUAACAC
rnacentral:rRNA from 1 species